AUGCAAUCCUCUCUCUCUCUGUCAGCAGGAGGGUCUGGUUCGCGUGCUCACUCAUCUAAGGUGUAUGAACGGAAAUCCAAGGCUAGGGUCAAGAAGACAACGACGGUUGUUUUGGGGCGUGAGAACAUGUUUGACUGCCAUCCUGAGGAAGAUGCUGAGGCUGAAGAUAGUGCAUCUCCUCCUGCUGCUCCCGUCCACUCCAAGAAGCGGAAGACUACUUCCAAGAAGGCCAAAGCAGCAAAUGUUCAACCUCCACCUCCUGAGCCAGUCACUAUGAAGGAAAUGCCCGCACCUGAGUGGAUUGCUCUGCGCCGAGUCAAUCCCUAUCGUCAAGACCGUGAUCAUGUGGCUGAUUCCAAGUUUUGGACCCUCUUCCAGCAACGCAACUAUGACGAGAUUUUUUCUCAAUUUGUCAACAAGUAUGUCCCCCAGAAGAGUAUCAACAUUGCUCACUUUGACAAGACUCCAAUAAAUUCUGCUUACUUUGAGGGGAUCCAGAACAUGUGUGUGAAGCUCAACCUUCUUCCACUCAUGUGCUUUCAACAUGAUGUGUCUCCGCCCCUUGUGGCUCAGUUCUAUGCCACGGUGCAUUUUGGGACUGGUAUGCAGCGCACUCUUACCUGGAUGAGUGGCAAUGAGAAGUUCUCUGCUCCGUUCUUCGUGUUGGCCGGGCUUCUGGGCUAUGAGUAUACUGACACUACUGUUGACCGUGGCUACAAGAUUCACGACAAAGGGGUCUUCCAGGCUAUUCACUUGGCUGAUUUGUAUCCUCCAUCAGGAAAGGUUGGAUCUGUUGGUGAUCUUCUGCCUUUCUAUGACAUCAUGCACCAAAUCUUUCGAGAGAUACUUGCGGUCAAGGUGGGUGACAAGACCAAGAUUCGUGGUCACCUCAUCAAUCUUCUUCACUACACUUGUCACAACUCCGAGCAGGGCCCCAUUGAUGUGAUGGACUUUAUGUGGCAUGAGAUGUACAGUGUGGUAAUGAACCGAAAGGUUCCUAUCUAUGCUCCUUAUAUUACUGCCUUGAUUGCUGAGAUUGCUCCUGAAGCACUUGCGGGUCGGUGUCUGACUGGCCACUCCAGUGUUAACUUGCUUGUUAAGAAGGGCAAGGCAACUGCUCAUGAGGGCCGGAACUUCCGCGAUGACCGAAACUUCCGGGGACCGGAAGCGGGGUUCAACCCGCCUGGGGGCGUCUGGCAGGAGACUGUCACCUCCUCGGACCAACUCGCCGGCGACUCCAUUAUCCGGACCACCAGCUACUGCCAGUACCUGGUGUUCUUCUACUGCAACGCCACCGCAUUUGCCUCGUCGCUCGUGGUCAUCGUUGCCAUCCUCUUCCUCACCAUCGUGGAAGAGAAGAAGAAGCACCGCGUCCCCCUCCUGCCACUUUGGGCGGUCAUGGUGGUGGACCUGUUGAGCGUCAUGGGGGCCUACGCUGCCGGGACCUGCCGCGACAAGCCCACCACCAUCUUCUCCUUGGUGCUGGUGGGUGCCGCCAUCGCCUACCUUGCUAUUCAGAUGAUGCUGACCGACCCUGUGCAGGAGAAACGGCUUCGCAAGGUCCUGAUGCUGCUGGCCUCGUUGCCACGCAACAACAGCUGCACCGACCCUGUGCAGGAGAAACGGCUUCGCAAGGUCCUGAUGCUGCUUGCGACAUUUGCGGUGAGCGUGACGUACGUUGCCGGGAUAAGCACACCAGGCGGCUUCUGGGAUAACACCGAGAACGGUCACCGCCCUGGCGAUGCAAUCCUCAAGGACAGCCAUGGCAAGCGCCUGACGGUGUUCUUGUGCUUCAACACCCUAACGUUCGUCGCAUCGCUGCUCAUCAUCGUGGUGCUUCUGGACAAAAAGCCUCCCAUGACUAAGGCAUACGGGUUUAUCGCUGUGGCGCUGAUCAGCCUCAUCGUGUCAUACACGGCCGGCAGCUGCAGGGAGACCGACACCAACUUCUAUGUGGGCAGCCUGGUUAUUGCCGUCCUGGCAUUCAUGGCAUUGUUUCAAGUUGCAUUUGUUCAAGAUACCAUAAAAGCUGCAAGGGAUACCAGGUUCUUGACCAAAAUCAGAACCUUCUAUCAUUCGGUGUGGAGCUUGCCAGAAGCAAUAACAAUAGCUCCAGGUCCGAAGACUAAUGACAGCAGGGUCGCAGCGGAGAAAUCUCGCUCCCUUGUACUGUUGCUAGCCACUCUUGCUGCAACCAUCACUUAUCAAGCGGGGCUGGAUCCUCCUGGUGGCGUCUGGCCGGAUAAUGGGAACGGCCACAUGGCUGGUGACCCAGUCCUCCUCACGGUGAAUGCUAAGCGGUACAAGGCCUUCUUCUACUGCAACUCAGUCGCCUUUGUAGCCUCCUUGGUGGCCAUCAUCCUGGUUCAAAGCAAGGUUAUGCUCCAGACCUAUGUGCUCGAGGCAGCCAUGGUACUGGACUUGUUUGGCCUCAUCGGAGCAUACGCCGUGGGAAGCUCUCGGGACUUGACCACUUCCAUUUACGCCACGGCCUUGGCAGGCGCCGUCCUGGUCUAUGUAGUGAUCCAUGUUGUCUUCUUCACACUGAACCACGCCAACCCCACCUCAGAGGAAAUUAAGUCCGUGGAGAAGAGGCGCAAGCGCUUGCUCCUUUUCGCAGUCCUGGGCGCGACCAUCACUUACCAAGACGGGUUGACCCCUCCCAGCGGUUUCCGGCUCCAAGAUGAUAGCGGGCACCACGCGGGGGAUCCGGUCCUCCUAUACAAUUUUCCCCGCCGUUACACGGCCUUCUUCUACUGCAAUACGGAAAGGAAAAACAAACCUGAAGACAAGGCCGGUGGACCGGAGCCUGUAAAGGAAAGGAAAAGGAAAGGAGAAGGAGAAGGAAAAGAAAAGCAUGUCAUGCGCAAAUACCUGAUGCUGCUAGGAAUCUUGGUGGCAAGCGUCACCUACCAGGCCGGCCUAGAUCCACCCGGUGGAGCUUGGCAGCACAGCGGGAAUGGGUACGACGCGGGCAACCCGAUCAUGCAUGACAGCCAGAGGCACCGUUUCCUCGCCUUCUUCUACAGCAACUCUACAUCCUUCGUGGCAUCCAUUGUUGUUAUCAUCAUUUUGCUAUUGCAGCGGAAGGACGAGGAGAAAUGGUCGCUCAGGGUGAUGAACACAACGAUUGUGCUGGAUUUGCUCGCUCUCCUGGGGGCCUACGCAACAGGCUCCAGCAGGGGGUGGAAGACGUCUGUGUAUGUCAUUGCACUAGUGAUCGCCGUGCUGGCAUAUGUUGCAACCCAUAUGAUGCUGGCAAUCUUAUGUUCUCAUAGUUCGCAGGAAGAGGGCAGCAGUGGGACAGCAGAGGCUUGA
rnacentral:rRNA from 1 species